rnacentral:rRNA from 1 species
UACGGAGGGUGCAAGCGUUGUCCGGAUUUAUUGGGUUUAAAGGGUGCGUAGGCGGUCUUUUAAGUCAGUGGUGAAAUCCUCCAGCUUAACUGGAGAACUGCCAUUGAUACUGGGAGACUUGAGUACAGACGAGGUAGGCGGAAUUGACAGUGUAGCGGUGAAAUGCGUAGAUAUUGGGAGGAACACCAGUGGCGAAGGCGGCUACCUGGACCGGUUCUGACGCUGAGGCGCGAAAGCGUGGGUAGCAAACAGG